rnacentral:misc_RNA from 1 species
UCUCCGUUGGUGAACCAGCGGAGGGAUCAUUACCGAGUUUACAACUCCCAAACCCAUGUGAACAUACCUACUGUUGCUUCGGCGGGAUUGCCCCGGGCGCCUCGUGUGCCCCGGAUCAGGCGCCCGCCUAGGAAACUUAAUUCUUGUUUUAUACAGUAUCUUCUGAGUAACACGAUUAAAUAAAUCAAAACUUUCAACAACGGAUCUCUUGGUUCUG